rnacentral:lncRNA from 1 species
AUGGGGGCGCUGCGAUAGGUUGUCAUUUCGAAGAGCGUCGGAGCGCCACCUUCACCUCUUCCUUCCACGUUGAGUGCCAAAACGCAUCGCUUGUGCGGUUGACUCCCACGGGAGGGCAUAAGGUAGGGCUUGUCCUAUUGCUGGAUGCACUACUCUGGAAAGAUACGUUUCUUUUUAUAUAUUGGAUCGGAAUCUAGAUUUCUUGGAGGUAAAAAUAGAUAAAAAAUGAUCCAUCCAUUCAACCUAUAUUUUCUACUGACUAAAAGCAGAAUUAUUGAAUUUCUCUCACUUACAGGGGCUGUGCAAUUCGCUGAGAUCUAACAUUUGUAACUGCUUGACAAACUUGGUCCUCCUCAUGGAUAUUCGAUACACUUGCAAAUGGCUUUUUGACAAACAAUGACAUGGACGGACUCACCUACGAUUGCGGCCACAGUUUCUUUGCUUUUUUUGUUUUGGUGGUUCUUGUUCUUGUAAUUCCCCCUUUUGUGAUCGCCUUUGCAAAUGAAUUGCUUAUUGACAGUUUGAUGGAAUGAUUCCCUCGUUGCCUCGAUUGUCGAUUGCGAGACUUUUGUUAUUCUUUAAUUAUGGACUUGCCACAGAGGGAAAGAAAAAACAAAGGAUUCAUGGGUAGAUAUUGAAAAGGAAUGAGGAUUUAUGCGAGUUUUUAUAUUAUGUAUUUUCCCAAUCAAAACUUGUUGUAAUUGAC